AAAGAAUUAGUUAAAAUAUAACAUAAAUUUGUCAAAUUUAAAUUAUUAAACCUAAUAUUCUUUU
rnacentral:tRNA from 1 species